ACAACGAUUAUGCCAUUGAUGUCAUAAAUUGAAGGAACUCAAAGAUUAAGGAACGAUUUUUCAUCUCAAAAGAUUCGAUUGAAGGUACGAUUAUUAUUUUUCAUCUGUUUUCAACUAUGCAUUGUUCUUCCUACUUCUGUUAUUAGGUUUUGUUUUGAAUUAUCAAGGUUCAAUAUCAUUGAGUUUAUAAUUUUUUUUUGGCUUUUUCGUGAUUAAAUUUGUGAAUUUGAUGUUUUUUUUGGCUGUGAUUGUUAUGGAUUUUGCGGAAUGAGGGUUGUUGCCCGUGUCUCUAUCUUAUCUGUUGUUGUUGCUUUGCGCGUUUUGCUGGUGUUGUCCGUCUGCUGCUGGUGGUUGUUGGUGGUGUUGCUGCCUCCUUAUUCGAGCUGCUACUAUUCUUCUUCUUCAAUCCUUAUUGUAUCCCUUAUUUCUGAGGUUUGAGCUGUUUAUUUCGGGUGCUAAUGUGAAUGCCUUCUUCUCAGUAAAGAUUUUCCUGAAGAUUAUAAUUCUGAGUAGUUGGUCUUCUGAAUUUUGUGGCUGUGUCAACUCAGUCUUAGCUGCAAGUUUGUAAUGGAAGUGUCGUAGGCAUCAUUUUUUUACAAUGCUUGAUAUUAAUGAAAUUUAUGUGGCACAACCUACUCUAUUUUGUAUGAUAUGAUGGGUAGGAGUUUAUUCUGUGUCUUCUUCUUAUAGAUUGAUUUAUCUUUAUGAACUUCACUUUUAUUUUCUUCCUCACGAUCCCCAAACUGAAACAAGCGAAUAAUAUGGCACAUGAAAAUGAAAGAAAGAUCUCACCUGCAUUGAUAUGAAUAUAUAGAAUAACAUUCUCAUGCUGUUUGACUGGUUGUAGAAGCUAAGUUGUAGUUCCCACGAAGUUGUUGAAAACUAUUUUGUUGAAUGUAAAAUGUACAGGAAGUUCAAGUAGUAAACAACCUACAACAUUUAAUCUUUGCAUGAAGCGAAAACAACCUACAACUCCCAAAAUAGACUCAAAAUGCAUUAAGCUAGUAAAAUUAAUAACAUUGAACAAAGCUAAGCUAAAUAAGCAUAAAACUGGACUAACAAGGGAUUAAUGAGGGUGGAAAGAGGUCACGAAAGCGACCUUAAAAGCCACUUAUCAAUAGCAGCUCUUAACAAUUUUGAAGGUGUGAUUAUUAACCGCAACUCUUAAAAAAUUAAGGGCUGCGAUUUUUAUCAAACAUCUAUAUCCACUAAGGACAUCGAUUUUUAGCAAAAACGCAGCCCGUGUGACCCUUAAUUUUUUUUUCCUUUUUAUGCCAAAUUGACACACAAACAUCUAUUAUUGAUAGAUUGUAAAGCUCUUAUACAGAGUGUGCUCAUAAUACAAAUAUUGGUAAACUUAAAUGCUAAGAGAACUUCAUUAUACACUUUGGUCAUUGUGAGAGAUGUUUUUCUGCCAAAUUUUGGCCAAAAGUCACUUAAUCACCACUGUUAGUUUAGUAAGUGAUUCUGAAGCUGGAAAAUCCAAAUGUGUAGGCACUUAGUGAUCGACCUGUACUUACAGGAGCAACAAAUAUUUUUCAAAUUACUAUGUUGGUGUAAAAAAAACCAGAAGUUCAUAAGUUCACAUAAGUUCCAGAGCUACCCAUAUUCAAUUCACAACUCUUUAACAUAUUCAGUAUUAUUAUCAACAUGUACCAAUAAUUGCUUUGGUUUGUGUAGCAACAUCCAUAGUCGUGCCAUCUUUCCGUUGUUGAAGAGUCUCUCCAACACAAACUAUGACCUUCAAACUCUGUGAGCAACUCUUAAUAGCCUACAGAACAGGUAAAAACACAGAAGUGGGAAGGGGAAUAAACCAACAAAAUAGAACUAAAAUUCAUAUUCUGCAUUGCAGAUGAAAGCUCGAAUGAACAACAAUUGAUGAAACCUGGAGGAAGA